GACACCACUCGGCCGCCCCUCCCCCUCACGGUCCUUCUUUGGCGGGGAGGGGGGUUCCGCGCGGACUCUGCGUGUUCCGGAUGUGCAAACGUCCGAGUGCACCGAACUUCGUGAACGAAACUUCUACUGCCUUGCUGCACAGAGUUGUUGACGGCGUCCGCUUCGGCGGCGACUCUCGACUCGUUUAUUGCCCCAGGUAUAUGGGUAGGGGUGAUUCGGUUGCGCCCCCGCCCUUCCCCCAUCACCGGGGGUGGGGCCCCCCAUCUACUUUCG
rnacentral:misc_RNA from 1 species